GCCUGUGAGCCAGACCCAGGCAACUGGAGUCCCCUUACCCCUGCCCCUGUCUUUGGAAUGUACAUUCUGGCUUGGCUUCCUGUGCUAAAAGCUGCCCAAGACACAGCCUUGAGAUAGUAAUGUGGUAUUGAGACCAUCACAGUGCUAUACAUGCCUAAGCUCAGUUAAGGCCUCCAUAUAACCUUUUAGGAUUUAGUGGGCAGGUGCCGACAUCUACUCUUGAGGACCCCCAAGACAAGCCUGGUACAGAGAACCAAAUGGAAUCUUACAGAUCCUAACAUCAGCAGACCCACUGAGCUGUCUCCUGUAUUCCCUGCAUUAAAGCUCUUUUCUUAAAACCCA